GAUGAACGCUAGCGGCAGGCUUAAUACAUGCAAGUCGAGGGGUAGCAAGAUUGUAGCAAUACAAUUGUUGACGACCGGCAAACGGGUGCGGAACACGUACACAACCUUCCUACAAGUGGGGAAUAGCCCAGAGAAAUUUGGAUUAAUACCCCGUAACAUAGCGAUGUGGCAUCACAUUGCUAUUAUAGCUUCGGCGCUUGUUGAUGGGUGUGCGGCUGAUUAGAUAGUUGGCGGGGUAACGGCCCACCAAGUCUACGAUCAGUAGCUGGUGUGAGAGCAUGAUCAGCCACACGGGCACUGAGACACGGGCCCGACUCCUACGGGAGGCAGCAGUAAGGAAUAUUGGACAAUGGACGCAAGUCUGAUCCAGCCAUGCCGCGUGAAGGAUUAAGGUCCUCUGGACUGUAAACUUCUUUUAUAAGGGACGAAAAAAGGUCUUUCUAGAUCGUCUGACGGUACCUUAUGAAUAAGCACCGGCUAACUCCGUGCCAGCCGCCGCGGUAAGAC
rnacentral:rRNA from 1 species